UUGAACAGGGGGGCCAUGGCCCCUUCCUGUCUACAAAUAGAUCCGUCUCUGGUAUAAUCAAAUCGCAGGAACGAAUCAUCUUCAAUUGUUACAAAUCGUCUACACUAAACUAAGGUUGUAACAUGACUUGUCUUCCUUAGGUAUAACUUGUCUCAUGAUUUGUAUAUACAAACAGAUUAAACAAUUGUAUAACAAUAUAUUCUCAAUCACAGAAAUCGGAUACAUUCCUUAGAUAAAAACUUUACUUGAAUAAAUAAUUUUUGAAAGAUAUACAAUGAUUAUCCGAACCAAAUCAAAACUAAAAUCACAAUACAUCAAUAGAAGUUACUUGAUUAUGGUUUCAUCUCAAUCCUGAAGAAGAAGAUUAGCCACUCGUGGUUGAGGUAGAAUCCACAUUGAAACUUUUUCUCCUUGCCUCUGUCUAUUUCUCUCCAAAAUCCUCAAUAACCCUAAUAAUGAUUAGCAUCUGUAUUUAUAGACAUAGGAGACAUCUAAAUAAUACCCAAGAAGCUAGAAUUCUCCAAAAUAAAAGAAAAAUUUUGAUAGAAUUAUUCCUAUCUUUUUUUUACUCAUCUUGAAGGUCUAUUUUGACCUAGUAAAUGUUAGAAUUGAAGAAUUAUUAUUUCACACAAAAUUGUAGCCAUUUAAGUUAACUUUCCAAUUCUGUUUGAUUCACCUUAAUCCGAAAUCCUAUCAGAGAAAUAUGACCAAAAUACCAAAUGUUGUGUAGAGUGAUUCUUCUAACAAGAUUGCAUUAAAUCUAACUUUUCUUUCUUCAAAUUUCAUGGGGUUGGACUUUGUUUGAUUCAAAUUAUUUAGAUUCUUCUAGGCCUUUAGAGUUGAGCUGGAACUUGAUCUUAGGUUUCAAUUAUCAAAUUAAGUAAAAUUUCUACUCAUAAGUUUGAGUGACCUGAACAUAUACAAACAUAUUAAAAACAUCAAGUAACAAUGAUUAAAUGACCUAACAAGUAUAUUUUAAGAUCUAAAUGUGUACAUUUUGACAACUAUCAUUCUCUCAAAAAAAUGAGUUAACAUUCUUAAUCUUACUUAUUGUUCAAAUUAACUCCACUUAAAACACAAUAUGAGUAUAUUGACACUGACUUCAUUAAUUAUAUGAUAUACCUAAAGAAAAAUGUUAAGGAUCUCAAAAAAUUUAACAACAAAACUACUAAAUGUCUUGCCGAUUAUAAAAUUCAUAUCCAUUUAAGAUAUUUGAUAAUUUUAUUGGUAAAUCUCUUCAAAGUGUUUUGCAUCACUCAUACUUAAAACAAUUGAUUUUGUACUACGAUUAGAUACUUUGUAUGAUUAGUUUUCAAGCAAUUUAAUUUAAUUUUUUUUUUUUAGUGUAUUUAAGAGUAGUUGGCAACUCAGAAUGGGUAUGUAAAGAGUAAUGUUAGGAAUUUCAAAUAUUUUAUUAAAUGUCUUAUAUGGGUGUGAGACUCACAUGAGACUUACAUAGUGUGAGUCUCAUAUGCAUAUGAGAUAUUUGAUAGAACAUUUAGUAAAAUAUUUAGAAUUCCUAACAUUUAAAUCUCUCGUCUUUUCAAUCACUCAUUUAAAACAAUUAAUUUUGUACUAUGAUUAGACAUGUCGUAUUGAUGAUAUCUAAAUUAUCAAGCAAUUUAAAUUGUUAAUAAUGUUAGAGAUAUUAAAUUUUUUACCAAAUAAAUAAUUAAAUGUUUUACAUAGAUGUGAGGUCCAUAAUUUUGUAAACCCAUAUUCAUGUAAGACAUUUGAUUAUUUGUUUAGUUGAAAAUUUGAGAUAUGUAUUUUCUUAAAUUAUUUUUUUUUAGUGUAUUUAAGAGUAGUUGGCAGUUCAGAAUGUGUUAGUAAAGUGGCUCCAUGAAGUGAAGUGCGGUGUGAGAGUACUUUCUAUACAACACACCAAAAUUGGAAGACAUUAGUAGUUGGCAUUUUUACUUGAGUAUAUCUCAAAGGGGGGAAUUACACGAUAGUGGGACGAGAAAAAAAUAUUUAUAAAAAAGUAAAAAAAAUUAUGUUUUUAAUUAUUAAUAGUUAUUAUAUUUUAAAGAAUAUUUUUUUUGAUCUUCACUGAAUUAUAAUUUCCCUUAACAUAAAACAUAACUACAAUAAUAACUCAGAGGUUGUUUGGAGUUAAUUUUUUUAAUAAUUUUUUAUUUUUCGAGAGUGAAAAAGUUGUUAAUAAUUUUUUUUUGAACUUCUUAAUUUUUUAGCCAUAAAAUUGUUUUUUUAUAACAACCCAAACAGAGUUUCAAGAGACUGUCUUAGAAAGGUUAUUGUUACUCUGGAGCAUUAUUAACACAUUGUUUUCCUUUGAAAAAUGUUAGAGAUUCUAAAUAAAUUAUUAAAUUUUUUACCAAACUUCUUACAUGAGUAUGAGGCCACAUAAAUCACAUGUACGUGAAUUUCACACCCAUACAAAAAAUUUAAUAAUUUAUCUAAGAUGCUAGCAUAAACUCUUUUUACUUUUCCUCUCCAACUUUGACUUUUCCAAAACAUGUCAACAACACUAUAGGGUGAUGUUUAUUUGGAUGAUAUGGAUUAAAUGAGAUAAUAUCCCUACAAUUAUUACUUUUAAAAUUAUUAAUCUCUUUUGAUUGUACAUCUUAUUUUAUAUUUGGAUUGAUUAAGGAUUAUGACAAAGGAUUGACCAAAAUAAAUAAAUAAAUAAAUUUUGCAAUUUAACUAAUUAAUAGAGAUUGUUUGGGAUGAACUAUAUAAAUGCACUUUUUGAAUUUUUAGCUAAAAAAAUAAAGAACAAAAAACGUAUAUUUGAGAUAAUUUUUUGACUUUUUACGAAAUUAAAAUAUUGUAUCAACUAGUAAAAUUACCUUCCUACCCUGUGUUGCACUGUGCUGGGUUCUGUGUAGUGCACUGUGCUACACUGUGAUGGUAUUAAAAUUUUGUUUAGGUUCCGUGCAGUGUACUGCUGCACUGUUAUGGUAUUAAAAUAUUGUUUAGAUUCCGUGCAGUGCACUGUGCUGCACAAUUUUUUUGUUUUACCAAAAAUAUCCAAUGAUAUAUGUGAAUAGUGUUAACUUUUUUUACUGUUUCAACGACUUUUUGACUUUUUUAAGGGAUGCCAAACGCCUACUAAAUUUCUCCUUACUUCUUCAUUUUGGAUAAUUUUAUUUACGCACCACCAAACUUCUCAUUAUAUACCAUUUUCUCAAUACACAUUACACUCAAAUUAAAAGUUUUGAUUUCUUCUCAAUACACACCACCAUUUUUCAAAUAAUACCAAACUACUUUCCCCCUUCUCCGACAAAACCCUAACCCUAAUCACUAUAACCGUCGACCGUAGUUGCCGUCGACGCUACAAUCCCUCGCCUGUCACUUCUCUACAGCCUCUCUCCUUUCUUGCUGCCUCCAUUAACCACCGCAUCCACCGCCAGUAGCUCCUCAGAUCUGGAGAGAGAGAUCGCCAUUGGCAUCUGGGGUUUGAAGAACAGAAGAAGAAGAAGAGAGGUGAAAGGUUGGCUACGGCAGGGGGAUACCGGAGUGUGAAGCAAUAGUGCGAAAAGAGAGUCCAUUGUUUUCGUCUUCAGUGGUGUCCAUCGAAGGAGGAGGGAGAUUGGUUAAGAUGUCAGAGUGAUUGGUGUAGUCAGGUUAAGAAUGAGAGAAAGUUGGAGCUAGGGUUAAGAUUGGGCCAAGAAGAAGAUGAGAAGGCACAGAGAGUGGCCAUGGAAGGAAGGAAUGAGUGAAUGGGAGGCUGGGAAGGGCUCGCCAGCGGCGAUGUGGCGAAGGCUGAUGGUGAUGAUGGGUGACUGUGAAAGAGGGGUGUGCGUAUUGAGAAAUGGCUUGAGGGACAAAAGAGUAACCUAAUAGAGGGACAAAAAUGUAAUAAAAAAAAUAAAAAAAUAAAAAAUUAAGAUAAUGGUGGGUAUGGAGAAAAUUAGUAGCGUGUGAUGUUUGGAUAUACUAUUAAUUAUUACCUUUUAUUCUUAACCAAAUAUCAGAUUAUACAUUUUUGUUGAUUAUUAAUCCAAUCCUAUGUCAUAUCCGGCCAAACAACCCAACAAAACCAAACUAAUCGCUCAAGAUCGAUAAAAAAAUUUCAAAUAUCAAUUUGUUUUUUAUAAAAUAGGUUUGUUUAGAUUUUAAAAUUUUUUACAUCGAUAUAAACAAAUUAACCAAAAUAUUGUACAUAAAUUUUACAUUUUAAUUCUUUAAACAUUAAAAAAUAAGUGAUAAAUAAUACACAUUUUGUAAUAAUAAAAAUUAGAAGGGAGGCAUUUAUCAGAGCAACUUUCAUUAUUUUUCUUCAUUUAUUUUCAAAGUAGAAUUCUGCAAGUUUUUUUUUUUUUUUUAAAAAACCUUUCAAAUCUCUUGUUAAUUAAUUUAACAAAGCUAAGAAACCCUAACUCCGCUCUCUCUUUUUCUGCUCUCUCUUUAGGAGGGAGAGGAUGGUGCUUCUAACUUUCCUCUCCCCUCCCAUUUCUUUAGAUCUAGACUCAAAUUUAUUUCUUGACUAAAAUUUGAUGCUACUAAACACCUCAAAUUUAAUUCUUGAUUGAAAUUCAAUGCUACUAAACACACUUUUUAUACGUUAAGCGACCACCUCAUAUCCACAUUAAGUUAAGGUACCACAACUAUUGGUUGCAAAGAUGAAUGGAUCGUGAAGCUAAUUAGUAAUAUUUAUUUGGUGUUGUUUGUUUUGAUUUUUGAUUUUGUUUAUUUGAUUUUAUUAUUUUUUGUAUUGCAAUAAUACCUCUCUAUAUAGAGAUUUUCUCCUCGCAUGAAAAUUUGUUUUUCUCUUUAUGUAAAGACUCGUAUUUUUAGACGAUAUUCGGACGACAUCGACAAAAAUAACAAGCUUUCAAGCAGAUUUUACUUUUCAGAUCACAUCUUUGAAAAGAUUGGUAAUUUUUCCUAACUUGUAGCUAUUUUUUUGACACAUUUGUUUUUUGUUUUUUGUUUUGCUGUUUGGUUAGAAUAACCCUUUGGAAUCUUAUUUACGUAAUGUUGUUUAUUAAUAUAUUGUUUCCUAUGUUCUCAAAAAA